rnacentral:tRNA from 1 species
UUCCGCUGGAGCCGCGCUGCCACCGGCCGGCCGCUGUCGCCGUCCGAGGAGGGGGCGUCGGCGGCCGGCGGGAUCAGUUCGGCGGCGAUCAGCGGGAA